rnacentral:rRNA from 1 species
CACGCUGUAAACGAUGUCGACUUGGAGGUUGUUCCCUUGAGGAGUGGCUUCCGGAGCUAACGCGUUAAGUCGACCGCCUGGGGAGUACGGCCGCAAGGUUAAAACUCAAAUGAAUUGACGGGGGCCCGCACAAGCGGUGGAGCAUGUGGUUUAAUUCGAUGCAACGCGAAGAACCUUACCUACUCUUGACAUCCAGAGAACUUAGCAGAGAUGCUUUGGUGCCUUCGGGAACUCUGAGACAGGUGC